rnacentral:rRNA from 1 species
CAGCCGCCACGGUAAAACGAAGGGUGCAAGCGUUACUCGGAAUUACUGGGCGUAAAGCGUGCGUAGGUGGUGGUUUAAGUCCGUUGUGAAAGCCCUGGGCUCAACCUGGGAAUUGCAGUGGAUACUGGGUCACUAGAGUGUGGUAGAGGAUAGUGGAAUUUCCGGUGUAGCAGUGAAAUGCGUAGAGAUCGGAAGGAACAUCUGUGGCGAAGGCGACUAUCUGGGCCAACACUGACACUGAGGCACGAAAGCGUGGGGAGCAAACAGGAUUAGAUACCUGAGUAGUCCCUGUCUCUUAUAC